UACGAAGGUGGCGAGCGUUGUUCGGAAUCACUGGGCUUAAAGCGCACGUAGGCGGCUCUUCAAGUGCUUUGUGAAAUCCCCCGGCUCAACCGGGGAAUUGCUUGGCAUACUGUCGAGCUUGAGGCAGGUAGGGGCGCGUGGAACUCUUGGUGGAGCGGUGGAAUGCGUAGAUAUCAAGAGGAACGCCGGUGGCGAAAGCGACGCGCUGGGCCUGUCCUGACGCUGAGGUGCGAAAGCCAGGGGAGCAAACGGG
rnacentral:rRNA from 1 species